GGACAGGUGGCCGAGUGGUCGAAGGCGCCGGUUUCGAAAACCGGUAGGCGUGCAAGCGUCUCGUGGGUUCGAAUCCCACCCUGUCCGCCA
rnacentral:tRNA from 1 species